CCUUGUUCAAACUUACAGCACAUGUCAAUCAUCUCGGUAAAAGUAUGAUUGAAUCUAUUCACUUUAUAUUUUACAAUAAAAUUAGUGAAAUCAUCCGAGAGAGAUGCAAGGAAAAAGUCUUGGGCCAUUUUCCCAUCGAUGGAAGUUCCUAAAGUUUCAAGAUCUUGAAAGAUCCUUUCCAUCUUUUGUCCAUGUUUAUGAACCUAUGCCCCCUUUGCCAUUUUGGCAUUCAAUAGACUACAAACAUUUGAGAAUCAUACAUUACUAGUCUCAAUGUCAUGCAUCUUAUGCAAACUUUCAACCAUGGCACAUGAAGUGUCCAUGUGCUCAUGUUGCUUCAUAAGCUCCUUACUAAGUGAAGUGAGGAUUAAGCAUUUGGCUUGUAAGUCAUCCUCAUAGUGUCUAUCAUAAUUUUGACACUCCUCCUUUGAAGCUAGUUUCGUAGAAGGUACAUGAGGAGAGGAUUGCUUAAGCACAUACAAUAUGUCUAUCACCUUUGAGACAUUCUCAAUAUGGCGAUACCAAGCAAGGAAACGUUGGCCCCUAAGGCCCCUUUUGUCAAGUAUAAUGGUGGGUGUAAUUUUAGG
rnacentral:lncRNA from 1 species